rnacentral:rRNA from 1 species
UAGCUUGCUAGAGUUGGAAGAGUUGCGAACGGGUGAGUAACGCGUAGGUAACCUGCCUAUUAGUGGGGGAUAACUAUUGGAAACGAUAGCUAAUACCGCAUAAUAGUGUUUAACACAUGUUAGAGACUUAAAAGAUGCAAUUGCAUCACUAGUAGAUGGACCUGCGUUGUAUUAGCUAGUUGGUGGGGUAACGGCCUACCAAGGCGACGAUACAUAGCCGACCUGAGAGGGUGAUCGGCCACACUGGGACUGAGACACGGCCCAGACUCCUACGGGAGGCAGCAGUAGGGAAUCUUCGGCAAUGGGGGCAACCCUGACCGAGCAACGCCGCGUGAGUGAAGAAGGUUUUCGGAUCGUAAAGCUCUGUUGUAAGAGAAGAACGUGUGUGAGAGUGGAAAGUUCACACAGUGACGGUAACUUACCAGAAAGGGACGGCUAACUACGUGCCAGCAGCCGCGGUAAUACGUAGGUCCCGAGCGUUGUCCGGAUUUAUUGGGCGUAAAGCGAGCGCAGGCGGUUUAAUAAGUCUGAAGUUAAAGGCAGUGGCUUAACCAUUGUUCGCUUUGGAAACUGUUAAACUUGAGUGCAGAAGGGGAGAGUGGAAUUCCAUGUGUAGCGGUGAAAUGCGUAGAUAUAUGGAGGAACACCGGUGGCGAAAGCGGCUCUCUGGUCUGUAACUGACGCUGAGGCUCGAAAGCGUGGGGAGCAAACAGGAUUAGAUACCCUGGUAGUCCACGCCGUAAACGAUGAGUGCUAGGUGUUAGGCCCUUUCCGGGGCUUAGUGCCGCAGCUAACGCAUUAAGCACUCCGCCU